GGGCUUGCGGCGGGGCGGGGCGGGGCUGAAGGUGUGGCAGCGCCCUGAACCUGGAGAAAGGCUAGUACAUAAACGCCUACGUCAGAAUCUGGAGUCAGCUGGAGUGUGCCAGCAGGCCCUGGAAUUUGAACCACCAUCUUCUGGAGUGACUCAAAUGCAGAGGAAGCCAGGCCUGCUGCUAACGUUUCUGAGAGGCGGCAAGAGUAUAAAUGGAGAUCCACAUAUGUAUAAAUAAAGAGUGUGAAUCAAGCUAACAAACUGUUUAAUAAAAUAUGAUCUACCCUCUUAGCUUGACAAAUCAACUUUUCAAACACCUGGAAGAACAAGUUUGCACUCAGGAUUCUCAGACUCCUCAGAGUUCUGCACUGGGAUGUGGAAGGGCUGUGCAAGCCAGCCCUUGGGUCCCUGAUCCCUGUCUCCUGGCCUGUGCCCGUCUCUUCUCAGCCUGGCUCCAACUCCCAUUGAGAGGAAGUUCUUGUACACAUAUGAUACUGCAGCCCUUAUGUCUAAUAUUUAUCCAUACCUUCUGCAAACAGCCACUGUGUGACCACCCUUGGGCUUCCCAGGGGUCUGCAAACUGACAAUACAGACAAAGGGAACCAAGGCAGAGGCUCACAGACUGUAGAAAUGGGCUUGGGGCCAUCUGGGCAGAGACUUGUGGAAUCCCAGCACGAUCACUCUGGGUGCUGUGUGAAAUGGAUGAAUAGCAAGGAGCUGCAGCCAAGAGCAAAUCAACAGAAGCACCACUCAAAAUGCCUCAGUACCCAUUACAUAAGGAUUCUUGUGAUUAAUUCUUCCCCAAAAUUUAGAGCCAAGAAAAAUCCAGCUCUCCUACUGAGAGUUGUAGAUUAGAGCUUCUGUUUCUAAUCUACAAACAAACAAAUGUGUGCAAUGUCUUUUCAUGACAAUUCCAACUUUAUCAUAAGGUUGUCUACUAAGAAACUAGUAGGCAGGUUUCUCUUGUUGUCUAGACCACCUGAAAGCUCAUAGCUGAGUUUGCACUUAUUUGCAGAGUAAACUGCUCAUUUAUCAAUCUGGCAUCCAAUCACAACUUUUUAGCUAACUGUAUGUUUUCAUAAACACUUUUCUCACACAGUAUAAAUUUUAAAUAAAUAACAAUAGCAAUUAAGUAGUAACAACUCGAGACUGGUAUCUGACUAGUGGUUCUUUCACCAGUGUGUACACUGGAAGUUUUGUUUUGUUUUUUGAUGUUUGUACAUUGUAAUUGCAGGACAGGUAGUAAGAAGAUUUCAAAUUCACAUUAGCUUUGCUACCACUAAAUUAUGGUGACUGUUCCUAAUUUGCAAACAAAUGUAUGCAAUCUCUUUUUAUGAUUAUCCCAACUUUAUCAUAAGGUUGUUAUAUUUUAAGACAUAUGAAAAGAUAUAAAGUAUAAUACAGUGAAUACAUAUAUAUCUAACUCCCAGUUUAAGAAAUAAAACAUUAGCAAAUACAGCUGAAGCUCCAUGAAUUCCCCUCCCAAAUCAUACUCCCUUCCCACCCGCAGAGGGAACCUCUAUUCUGAGCCUGGUGUUUAUCACCACCAAGAAUUAAAAAAAUACUUUUACUAUAUAUACACAAGUAUGUACCCCUUAGAAAUGAGUAGUAGUACUGUUUUGUAUGUCUUUACACUUUAAGUAAAUGGUAUAAGUUAUUUCUUGUUUUUGCUCAAAAUUGUUGAAAUUUAUGCCCUUUGAUUCUAUAGCUGACUUUCACUGUGAGUCAUUCCAUCAUUAUUUCUGUAUUCAUUCUCCUGCUGAAGUACAUUUCAGGUUGUUGCUAUUCCUCUGCUGAUCCCCCU
ensembl:lncRNA NUDT16-DT NUDT16 divergent transcript